CAAGUCGAGCGAACGGACGAGAAGCUUGCUUCUCUGAUGUUAGCGGCGGACGGGUGAGUAACACGUGGAUAACCUACCUAUAAGACUGGGAUAACUUCGGGAAACCGGAGCUAAUACCGGAUAAUAUUUUGAACCGCAUGGUUCAAAAGUGAAAGACGGUCUUGCUGUCACUUAUAGAUGGAUCCGCGCUGCAUUAGCUAGUUGGUAAGGUAACGGCUUACCAAGGCAACGAUGCAUAGCCGACCUGAGAGGGUGAUCGGCCACACUGGAACUGAGACACGGUCCAGACUCCUACGGGAGGCAGCAGUAGGGAAUCUUCCGCAAUGGGCGAAAGCCUGACGGAGCAACGCCGCGUGAGUGAUGAAGGUCUUCGGAUCGUAAAACUCUGUUAUUAGGGAAGAACAUAUGUGUAAGUAACUGUGCACAUCUUGACGGUACCUAAUCAGAAAGCCACGGCUAACUACGUGCCAGCAGCCGCGGUAAUACGUAGGUGGCAAGCGUUAUCCGGAAUUAUUGGGCGUAAAGCGCGCGUAGGCGGUUUUUUAAGUCUGAUGUGAAAGCCCACGGCUCAACCGUGGAGGGUCAUUGGAAACUGGAAAACUUGAGUGCAGAGGAGGAAAGUGGAAUUCCAUGUGUAGCGGUGAAAUGCGCAGAGAUAUGGAGGAACACCAGUGGCGAAGGCGACUUUCUGGUCUGU
rnacentral:rRNA from 1 species